AUUAUAGCUUAGUGGUAGAGCAUCCGCUUUGUAAGCGGAAGGUCGUGGGUUCAACCCCCACUGGU
rnacentral:tRNA from 1 species